UAAAUGCUUAUGUCCCCAGUUGUCCAUAGCUUUCCCAUGUUAAUUUUGUGGGAAAGCCAGAUGAUAGUCAUAGUAUAGUAUAUUUCUAAAUUUAAAUGUAUUUUUUAAUGGCACUAAAAUAUGUGCAAAACUGCAUCUGAAUGCUAUUCAGCCUUAAGAAGGAAUGAAAUUCUGUGUGCAGUGUGCGUCUGCAUUAUGCGUUAACCAGAUCUCUCCAAUGUCAGAAAUACCAGCUCAACCAUAAAGGAGGUCCUGGUAAGGAAUGCGGAACUAACAAGCUACCCACCAACGGGAAGAAUUCAGGAAAGGUCAAAAGGAGAGAGGAGACUCCAGUUCAUAUGUCCUACCAACCUCUCAGAAUCCUUCUCGCUGGAAUCCAUCUUGGCUGAGAGAUACGUGCCUCACCAGGAAGGACCCUGAGUCAGAAUGAUUGGCCGGAGACAACCCGGAAACUAACCCCAUUACCAUAAAACCUGAGACUGUGAGCCACGUGGCAGAGCAGUUCUCCUGGGUUCCCUUACCCUGCUGCUCUCUGCCCGGGCACCCUUUCCCAAUAAAGUCUCUUGCUUUG